GACUACUCAUUAUUGCUUUUGUAAAAUACUAAAAAAUUGAAACCUGCAUUGGUGAUGACUUGUAAGAGUUAUAGAUCAAUCUCUUUAGUUUUUUAUUUUAUUUUUUACUUUGCGCUUUUUCAUAGCCAUAAGAACAGCAGCCUUUAGCACAUUUUCCUGAACUAUUUAUAUAAAUGCGCACCCUUUCAGGCUCCACACGAUACCCUGAAAGCUUUUUUUUAUUGCAAGACAUUGAUGAUAUUGUCAACUCAAUGAGAACAAUAGGCUUAUACAUAAGAUGCUCUCAGUGACCAUUUUUGGUUUUGUUUUGGUUACCAUAUUUUAAUUUACAGUAAAUAAAAUGGAUUACAUGAAACUGAACAAAUUUUUGCUCUUCGAAAUAAAUAGUGAAAAUGUAGCAACUUUUCAUCUAUGCUGCCCAGUGAUGAAAUAAUAGACUAAUGACCGGCUUCAUGGUUUUGUUCAUAACUUGACUUGCACCAUUCUUUCUCUUUCUCUCCCUCUCUAACUCAAUGUGCGUCUGAAUUUGUGUGUGUAUGAUCAUAAUCUUUGUUUUUCUCUCUCUGGCCAUCUGUUUAUGAUGAUGCAUGCAAGAAGGUUGUGAACGAAGCCAUUGCAAAUGCCUUACAUGAUAAUGUUUUCAUGAUAAUGAUUUUAUCUAUGAGAUUUGAGGGUUGUGUUUCCUUUUUCUUUAUGUCAAUUGAUCUAAGCCAUACUAUGUAAUAACAAUGUGAUGCUGUCAUUGCAAGAGGGGUUUCUGCUUUGCUUACCAAAUUCAUAUUGUAUAACAAUAGUAUGCUGUUGCAGAAACUCAAAAUCUAGACUAUUUUCCCAGAGCCAUCUCUAAAAUAUAGUUUUUCUCACUGUCUUAGUUUAGGUAUUGGCUCUCUGUUAUCAAUUAUUUGAAGCUUAUGUCUAUCAUAUUCCUUCACUCAACAUGACUGAAAUAAACUCAGUGAGUAUGCUAACAAUGGUGUGUUAUUGCACUUUUAUUUCUGAAGUAGAAUCACAGAUUUUGAACAUUGACGAUGGUGUCUCAACCGAGAACAAUAGGCUUGUAAACAUGGUGCUCUCUGUGCCCAUUUAUUUAUUUCAACCAAAACUGUGGUGUUAAACAUUGACAUUAGCUUGUUUUUCUGUUUACCUAUUUCUAGAGGUCUCUUUUUCGUUUUCCCUUCAUUUUAUAUUACACAAGUUUACUCUUUCAAAUGUAAACUGAAAAUGUAGCAAUUUUUCUGCAAUGCUAUGCUGCCCAAUGAUGUAAAAAUAGACUAUUGAGCUGCUUGCUACAUGGUUUUGUUCAUAACCCACCUUGCAACAUUCUUUCUUUCUGGAUCUCUCUCUCUCUCUCUCUGAAUGUGUGUGUAUGUGAAUCAUGAUCUUUCUUUCUCUCUCCGUCUCUCUCUCUCUCUCUCUCUGGAUAUCUAUAUCUAUCCAUCUAUCUAUGAUGCAAGUUGCUUGUGAAUGAAUCCAUUGUAAAUGCCGUAGAUGAUUUUGUUUUUAGCUAUGAGAUCUGAGGGCCCUGUGUUUCCUUUUUUAUGUAGAUUGAGCUAAGCCAUAUUAUAUAACAUAGAGAUGCUGUCAUUGCAAGAUGGGUUUCUGCUAUAGUUACCAUGUUCACACUGUAUAACAACAGUAUGCUAUUGCAGAAACUCAAAUUCUAUAAAACAUUGUCCCAGAGCCAUCUCUAAAAUAUAGUAUUGGCUCUCUGUUAUCAACUAUUCCCAACAGGACUGAAAUAUACUCUAGAGUGUGCUAUUUUCCUUUAACAACAAUGCUGUGCUAUUGCAUUUUUAUAUCUGAGCUGGAAUCGCAGAUUCUUAUUUCUUCUCAACCUGCAUUUAUCGUUUAUGUUUAACACAUUUUACUUGGAAGGUUAAAUUAAGUAUCAUUUUAAUUAUUGUUGAAUUGUUGUACUUGAUUUUCCAAUGUAUUAUUUUCAUCUGCAAAUUUACCAUGCUAUUUCCUUUAUCUUGAAAUUGAUUACUUUAACUUGUUUAUUUCUGCUUUUCACUUUUCACUUCUUGUGGAUUUCCUUCUCAAUUGACGACAACCUAUUAUGCCGACUCUAUUGGAGAAAUUCCAUAGUGUCUUAUGGAUGUGCUCAAUGAUGACGAAUGCUUAUAAAGAUAUGGUACUCUGAAUUAAUAUUCAAAGCCUUUCCGUCCCUUCUGCUCUUUUCACACUGCCAUCACUAUUGACUUCUUUUUUUCUUCUUCUUCUACUCUGUUGUACCAUCAUCAUUAUUAUUAAUUGUUAUUACUAUUAUUAUUCAUAGUCACAGUGGGUUGAGAUGGUGGAGGUUGUGCCUUGUGGCACUCCCUUGAUGGAUGUUGAGAGGCUUUUAUGGAUGUUGAAAAAAGUACAAAUCUAACAAUAUCUGAGGGCUGAGCUGCUACCUUUUGUUUGGAUAAUCUUAUAAGUCCGUUCUUUUGUUCAUUUAUUUUAAAUGUUAUCUUCUGGACACUAGCUACCUGACUAUGCCCUAGUUGAGGAGAAGUUGUGAAAAGUUUAGGUGCUCUUUCCUUUCUCUACCAAUUUCUCUAAUUUUCCAUGUCCUCUUUUCUUUGCAGUUUGUCACCUCAUAAAUGGCUAUUCACCUAUUUCCACUUGUAAAGGAGCUAUAUCGUUAAUGCUCUUAACCAAUGUGCAAGUAUUCUCGCUUUCAUAUCUUCUUGAACAGCUCUAAAACUUUCAAUGUUGACAUAUUUAUUGUUUAGGGAGUCAUUGAUAUGUUUAUCAUUUGAUUUCAUUUCAGUUAAACUUGGAUGGGAUAUGGAUUCACUCUAAUGUUUCAUAUUCAUAUGCUGCCGCUCUCUCUAGUUAUAUAUAAUUCUCAUUUAUGCUUCAUAGAUUUUUUUUAACUUGUUAAGUUUACUAUCAUAUUACUUGUUGUAUUUUCAAUGUUUUACUCUCAUCAUCAUGGGUCAACCCUCUUUCCUUUAUCUUAAACUAUUGAACAGUUCUUUUUGUUUAUUGCUACUUCUUAAUUUUCCUGAAUAGAUUUGCUUUACCAUAUAGUAGAAUUAUUUUACUUGUUCAAUUUCCUUGGGAUAAUUUGCAUAUAGUUUCUUCUGUUUGUAAGGUCUUCGACGCAGGCCUUGUAUUUUCUGUAUUUAAAUACUUACUAAUAAUUUUAAAUAUAAUAAUAUAUAAUUUAACUAUAUAUAUUUUCUGUAUUGAAACCUGCAUUGGUUGUGACUCAGCUGUAAUAGUCAUAGAUCAAUAAGUUCAGUUGUGUGUUUUAUUUUAUACUAUGCGCUUUUUCUUGGUCACGAGAACAGCAGCCUUUAGCUCAUUUUCCUAAACUAUUUAUUUAAAUGCGCACCCUGAAAGCUUCACAUGCUACCGUGAUUUAGGCUUUUUUUUUAAUUGUAAAACUUUGAUGAUAAUUGUCAUCUGAGAACAAUAUUCUUGUAGAUAAGAUGCUUUCAGUAUCCUGUUGCAGAAACUCAAAAUCUAUAGUACAUUGUCCCAGAGCCAUCUCUAAAAUAUAGUAUUCGCUCUCUGUUAUCAACUGUUUGAAGCUUAUGUCUAUCAGAUUCCCUUCACUCAACAGGACUGAAAUAACUCUGAGUGUGUUAUAACAAUGGUGCGCUAUUGCAUUUUUAUUUCUCAAGUAGAAUCACAGGUUUUUUAUUUCUUAUUUCUUAUUCUAAAUCUGCAAUUAUCAUUUAUGCCUAACAGAUUUUACUUGGCAGGUUGAAUUCCCUACCAUUUUCAUUACGGUUGAAUUUUGGCAAUCAUACUUUGUUGAAUACUUGAUUUUCCUAUGUAUUAUUUUCAUCUGCAAAUUCACCCAGAUAUUUCCUUUUUCUUGAAUCUGAGUACUUUAAGUUAUUUAUUUAUGCUUUUCAAUUUUCAUUUCUUGUGGAUUUUCUUUUCUAUUGAUAACUACCUAUUGUGCUGACUCUAUUCCCUUUGGAGAAAUUCCCUAGUGUUUUAUGGAUAUGCCCAAUGAAGAAGGCUUAUAAAGAUAUGGCACUUUGAAUAUAAUUCAACGCCUUUCCGUCUCUUCUGCCCUCUUCACACUGCCAUCACUAUUGACUUGUUCUUGUUCUUGUUCUUGUUCUUCAACUUCUUCCACUUCUUCUUUUUCUUCUUCUUCUACACUGUCAUUGCCAUCAUCAUUAUUAUUAUUACUAUUGUUAUUAUUAUUAUUCAUAGUGACAGUGGGUUGAGGUGGCGGAGGUUGCGCCCCUUGGGCACUCCCUUGAUGGGGAUGUUGAGAGGCUUUUAUGAAUGUUGAAAAAGUACAAAUCAACAAUAUCUGAGGGCUGAGUUACUAUCUUUUGUUUGAAUAAUCUUUUCAGUUGGUUCAUUUCUUCAUUUAUUUUAUGUCAUCUUCAAGACUCUAGCUGCCUGCCUGACUAUGCCCCAGUUUAGGAGAGGUGGAGAGUUUAGGUGCUCUUUCCUGUCUUACUAAUUUCUCUUGUAUAUUCUGUCCUAUGGUCUUGCAGGUUUACAUGCCAUAAUUGGCUCUCAUUCACCUAUUUCCACUUCUAAAGGAGCUUUAGUUAAUGUCCAGAACAAAUGUCCAAUACUCCGACUUUCUCUUUUUAAACUGUAAACAAACUUUCAAUGUUGACAUAUUUAUUGUUUAUGGAGUCGAUGUUAUGUUUAACAGUAGAUUUUAGUUAAACUUGGAUGUGAUGUGAUAAGUUUCUAUUGGAAUUUAGAUGUUUCUUAUUCAUCUGUUACUUCAUCUAGUUAUCACUUAGUGUAGAUUUGCUCUACCAUCAAACGCAACUUAUUUUACUUGUUCAAUUUCCUUGGGAUAAAUUUGCAUAUAAUUUAUUCCCUGUUUGCCCGAUGAUGAUUUUUCCAUCCAAGACAUGUUACUCUGAAUAUCAUUCACAGCUUUUCCAUCCAUGAUGCCUUUCUUCCCACUGUCUUCAAUUCUUACUACGCCGCUGCUGCUUCUGUUGUUGUUGCUGAUGAUGCUUUCUACUUUCUUUUCUUCUCCGUCUUUUAAUUUCCAUUGUUGUUGUUAUUACUAAUACAGACAGUGGGUAGAGAUGGCAGCGGUUGUGUGAUUCUUUCUCUUGUGCACUGCCUGACGGAUGGCGAGAGGCUUUUAUGGACGUUGAAAAUGUACUAACCUACUAAAUAUCUAAGGGCACGGUUGCUAUCUUGUGUUUGAAUAACAACUUUUUAUAGUCACAGACCGAACAGUUCGGUUCUAUGUUUUAUUUUUUAUUUUGGCUGUUUUCUUGGACUGAUUUUUGGGAUAUCAUCAAUGAAUAUGCAUGCCCUUAGCUACAGCGGCUGUUAGCAUUUGCCUGCACUGUUUCAAUAAAUGCACACCCUAAAAAGCUUCACAUGUUAAAGCAAUGUAGGAUUUUAAUUCCGUACAUUUUAAUUACGGUUGAAUUUUGGCAAUCAUAUUUUGUUGAAUUCUUGAUCUUCCUAUAUUAUUUUCAUCUGCAAAUUUACCCUGAUAUUUCCUUUUUCUUGAAUUUGAGUACUUUUAAGUUGUUUAUUUCUGCUUUUCACUUUUCAUUUCUUGUGGAUUUUCUUUUCAGUUGAGAUAACUACCUAUUGCGCUGACUCUAUUCCAUCUGGAGAAAUUCCCUAGUGUCUUAUGGAUAUGCCCAAUGACGAAAGCUUAUAAAGAUAUGGUACUUUGAAUAUAAUUCGAAGCCUUUCCAUCCCUUCUGCCCUCUUCACACUGCCUCCACUAUUGACUUGUUCUUCUUCUUCAACUUCUUCCACUUCUUUUUCUUCUUCUUCUACACUGUCAUCACCAUCAUCAUCAUUAUUAUUAUUACUAUUACUAUUUAUAGUGACUGUGGGUUGAGAUGGCGGAGAUUGUGCCUUGUGGGCACUCUCUUGAAGAGGAUGUUGAGAGGCUCUUAUGGAUGUUGAAAAGGAAUCUAGCUGUCUGCCUGACUAUGCCCCAGUUGACAGAUUAAGUUCAGAUAUCAUAUUACUAAUUGUUGUAUUUUGGCAAUUCUGUUUUGAAAAUUACUUGCAUUUUAACUGUUUUUUAUUGUCUUUGUCAAAGUUGGUAUUUUACUUGUUCGAUUUCCUUGGGAUAAAUUUGCAUAUAAUUUCUUCCCUAAAUGCCCGAUGAAGAUUUCCCUUGCUAGAGAUGUUACUCUGAAUAUCAUUCACAGCUUUUCCAUCCAUUCUGCCUUUCUUCCCACUGUCAUCACUUCUAUCUAUGGUGUUGAUGUUGUUGUUCUACUUCCUUUUCUUCUUCGUCUUCUCAAUUUCAUUGUUGCUGUUAUCACUACUACUAUCACUACUACUGACAGUGGGUAGAGACGGUGGAGGUUGUGUGAUUCUUUUUCUUGUGCACCGCCUGAUGGAUGGCGAGAGGCUUGUAUGCACGUUGAAAAAGUACUAACCUACUAAAUAUCUGAGGGCGUAGUAGCCAUCUUGUGAUUGAAUAAUUUUUUCAAGGGUUUCCGUUUUAAUUUUGUAUUUGACAUGUUAAUUUCAUGAAUCAUGACUAACAUCCUUGUUCUAUCUGUCAAAUAUCUGUCGUCUUUGUAAUUUUAGGUACACUUGUUUGCUGUGCAAGUUAGAGAGAAAGGAAGUGGGGAACUUAUUUUUUAGGACUUUACAAAUGUUAUAGUAUUUCUUACAAACUUUUUUAAUUUAUUAACUUCUAGGAACAGUGAAAACUAUACAGCAUUACAAAUUUGACGCUCAAAGAUCUCUAAUAAAAUACCUAUAAUGGGUGGUUCCAAAGAUUUUACACCGGCA